AACGAACGCUGGCGGCAUGCCUAACACAUGCAAGUCGAACGAGACCUUCGGGUCUAGUGGCGCACGGGUGCGUAACGCGUGGGAAUCUGCCCUUUGGUUCGGAAUAACUGUCCGAAAGUGGUGCUAAUACCGGAUAAUGUCUUCGGACCAAAGAUUUAUCGCCUUUGGAUGGGCCCGCGUUGGAUUAGCUAGUUGGUAGGGUAAAGGCCUACCAAGGCGACGAUCCAUAGCUGGUCUGAGAGGAUGAUCAGCCACACUGGGACUGAGACACGGCCCAGACUCCUACGGGAGGCAGCAGUGGGGAAUAUUGGACAAUGGGCGAAAGCCUGAUCCAGCAAUGCCGCGUGAGUGAUGAAGGCCUUAGGGUUGUAAAGCUCUUUUACCCGGGAUGAUAAUGACAGUACCGGGAGAAUAAGCUCCGGCUAACUCCGUG
rnacentral:rRNA from 1 species